rnacentral:rRNA from 1 species
GACACGGUCCAGACUCCUACGGGAGGCAGCAGUGAGGAAUAUUGGUCAAUGGACGGAAGUCUGAACCAGCCAAGUAGCGUGCAGGAUGACGGCCCUAUGGGUUGUAAACUGCUUUUAUGCGGGAAUAAAGUGAUUUACGUGUAUUUCAUUGCAGGUACCGCAUGAAUAAGGACCGGCUAAUUCCGUGCCAGCAGCCGCGGUAAUACGGAAGGUCCAGGCGUUAUCCGGAUUUAUUGGGUUUAAAGGGAGCGUAGGCGGAUUAUUAAGUCAGUGGUGAAAGACGGUGGCUCAACCAUCGUUAGCCAUUGAAACUGGUAGUCUUGAGUGCAGACAGGGAUGCUGGAACUCGUGGUGUAGCGGUGAAAUGCUUAGAUAUCACGAUGAACUCCGAUCGCGAAGGCAGGUGUCCGGGCUGCAACUGACGCUGAGGCUCGAAAGUGUGGGUAUCAAACAGGAUUAGAUACCCUGGUAGUCCACACAGUAAACGAUGUAUACUCGCGGUUUGCGAUAUAAUGUAAGCCGCCAAGCGAAAGCAUUAAGUAUACCACCUGGGGAGUACGCCGGCAACGGUGAAACUCAAAGGAAUUGACGGGGGCCCGCACAAGCGGAGGAACAUGUGGUUUAAUUCGAUGAUACGCGAGGAACCUUACCCGGGCUUGAAUUGCAGAGGAAGGAUUUAGAGAUAAUGACGCCCUUCGGGGCCUCUGUGAAGGUGCUGCAUGGUUGUCGUCAGCUCGUGCCGUGAGGUGUCGGCUUAAGUGCCAUAACGAGCGCAACCCUUCUCUUCAGUUGCCAUCAGGUAAUGCUGGGCACUCUGGAGACACUGCCACCGUAAGGUGUGAGGAAGGUGGGGAUGACGUCAAAUCAGCACGGCCCUUACGUCCGGGGCUACACACGUGUUACAAUGGGGGGUACAGAAGGUCGCUACCUGGUGACAGGAUGCCAAUCUCAAAAACCUCUCUCAGUUCGGAUUGGAGUCUGCAACCCGACUCCAUGAAGCUGGAUUCGCUAGUAAUCGCGCAUCAGCCAUGGCGCGGUGAAUACGUUCCCGGGCCUUGUACACACCGCCCGUCAAGCCAUGAAAGCCGGGGGUGCCUGAAGUCCGUGACCGCAAGGAUCGGCCUAGGGCAAAACUGGUGAUUGGGGCUAAGUCGUAACAAGGUAGCCGUACCGGAAGGUGCGGCUG